rnacentral:rRNA from 1 species
CUUAAAUUGAAGAGUUUGAUCAUGGCUCAGAUUGAACGCUGGCGGCAGGCCUAACACAUGCAAGUCGAGCGGAAACGACACUAACAAUCCUUCGGGUGCGUUAAUGGGCGUCGAGCGGCGGACGGGUG